AAAGUCCACCGCGGAGUAAGGCCUAGCCAGCCGCUCCGGCCCCGAGUGAUGCGCGGCAGUUCGCGAGGGCUGACGUGAAGCGUUCACAGGGGAGACCAUGGGCUGGGUAUUGAGCUGCGAAACUGGCUUUUCCAAGGUGCUGAUCUUUUUUCCGUUGUGGAGAAGGCAACAUCAUCUCAUGCGAUGACUUGGCGAGUGUGAGAUGGACCUUGCGCAGUCGGAGACCC
rfam:Marine metagenome HOTS_Contig32066, whole genome shotgun sequence.